AGUGAACGCUGGCGGUAGGCCUAACACAUGCAAGUCGAACGGCAGCACAGUAAGAGCUUGCUCUUACGGGUGGCGAGUGGCGGACGGGUGAGGAAUACAUCGGAAUCUACUUUUUCGUGGGGGAUAACGUAGGGAAACUUACGCUAAUACCGCAUACGACCUACGGGUGAAAGCAGGGGAUCUUCGGACCUUGCGCGAUUGAAUGAGCCGAUGUCGGAUUAGCUAGUUGGCGGGGUAAAGGCCCACCAAGGUGACGAUCCGUAGCUGGUCUGAGAGGAUGAUCAGCCACACUGGAACUGAGACACGGUCCAGACUCCUACGGGAGGCAGCAGUGGGGAAUAUUGGACAAUGGGCGCAAGCCUGAUCCAGCCAUACCGCGUGGGUGAAGAAGGCCUUCGGGUUGUAAAGCCCUUUUGUUGGGAAAGAAAAGCAGCAGGUUAAUACCCCGAUGUUCUGACGGUACCCAAAGAAUAAGCACCGGCUAACUUCGUG
rnacentral:rRNA from 1 species